GUCAGAAGAGAUUUCAUCUCCAGCAACGGUGAAGUCCUGCUGCCUUACCUGGAACAGUGGAAAAAGGAUGAGUGCGACCUUGUGAGCCUGCUGCAGGUGAUGGCUGCCAUGUUUGGAGAGGCUCCUCCUCUGUGUAUGCGACCUCAUCCAGAGCCCGAACCAGCCUCAUGUGGGCUGCAGUUCCACAGACAAACAGAAGUGUUUUAUAACACAGAUGGAAGUUCGUAUUUCCCACUAGCCAGAGAAGAUAAUGAUCCUUUCCAGCAAGAAAAUGAAAGCCAUUGUUAGUUGUUUGUGUACGUUGAUGAUAAUUUCUGUAAAAAAAUGUUUGUGUGUUACUUUUUUUAAAUCCUGUGUACAGUGUCAGAUGGUAUCCAUUGAAUAUACAGUUCAUUAACAAUUUUUCAAAUGAUUUAGACAGAAAAUAUGAAGCAGUGCUAAAUGAAAUCUUGUCUGUUGUGUUUGGUGAGUGUAUUGUGGAGCGUUUUGCACUUUAGAAAAAGAAAAUAAAAUCAAAUGCUGCUUCAGUUUGCAAAGCCUGUGUGUUAACAGACUUCAUUGCUGUUCUUUAAUUGCAUCCAAAGGCCAAUGUUGUGCUCCAAUCGAAAAGAAGCUGGACUUUUAACCACACAAGACAUAUACAGGAAUGUUAUAUAAGACUGCAGCUUUUAAACUUUAAACACAGCAGAAAUUCAAAUGAAUCUUUAGUUCUGGAUACUUAAAACAGCCAUAGUUACAAGGUUAAUCAUUAGUGUAAGCCAGUUACUUUGCUUCUUGAUAUUGAAUUGCCUCUUGCUUUGUUUGGUUUUUUGUGAUGUCUGUAGUUAAAGGUUUCAAUAUAGAUGCACAAGCUAAAGCCUGGACUGCUUGUGAAAACUACUGGCUCACCUAUCAAUGUAAAUAAAAGCCAUAUUAAACCCA